rnacentral:rRNA from 1 species
AACGAACGCUGGCGGCAGGCUUAACACAUGCAAGUCGAGCGCCCCGCAAGGGGAGCGGCAGACGGGUGAGUAACACGUGGGAAUCUACCCAUCCCUGCGGAACAACUCCGGGAAACUGGAGCUAAUACCGCAUACGCCCUUCGGGGGAAAGAUUUAUCGGGGAUGGAUGAGCCCGCGUUGGAUUAGCUAGUUGGUGGGGUAAAGGCCUACCAAGGCGACGAUCCAUAGCUGGUCUGAGAGGAUGAUCAGCCACAUUGGGACUGAGACACGGCCCAAACUCCUACGGGAGGCAGCAGUGGGGAAUAUUGGACAAUGGGCGCAAGCCUGAUCCAGCCAUGCCGCGUGAGUGAUGAAGGCCUUAGGGUUGUAAAGCUCUUUCACCGAUGAAGAUAAUGACGGUAGUCGGAGAAGAAGCCCCGGCUAACUUCGUGCCAGCAGCCGCCGUAA